rnacentral:tRNA from 1 species
CCAAGGCCUGGGCGGCGCUGGAGGCGACAGCCGACUGGGGUUCGGCGGGCUGGCCAGGGCCACCGAGGGGCCCGGUACGACGCCGCGGGGCUGGGGC